GUGUCAGCCGCCGCGGUAAUACGUAGGCAGCAAGCGUUGUUCGGAGUUACUGGGCGUAAAGAGUGUGUAGGCGGUUUACCAAGUCUGGUGUGAAAUCUCCUGGCUCAACUGGGAGGGUGCGCCGGAUACUGGCGAGCUAGAGUAUGGGAGAGGGAAGCGGAAUUCCUGGUGUAGCGGUGAAAUGCGUAGAUAUCAGGAGGAACACCUGUGGUGUAGACGGCUUCCUGGACCAUCACUGACGCUGAGACACGAAAGUGUGGGGAGCAAACAGGAUUAGAUACCCGCGUAGUCC
rnacentral:rRNA from 1 species